rnacentral:lncRNA from 1 species
ACAUUUUACAUAUUUUUCAUUGACUCUUUGGGCUGAUGGGAGAGAAAUUCUGACAUUAACAGUGCUUAUUGAUAAUUGGUACGCUAUUUCUAGGCUUAAAAUAUAGGGUAGUUGCGAAUGGAUGUUCAUAAUGAACAAAAGUUAAUUAUUUUAAUAAUAAAAAAUUAUAUUAGUACAUGUAUGUCAUGUAUGUACUCAUAUUAUGCAAAUAUUUAAAGUUAUAGCCUUGAAGCAGAGAUUCACUAUACAUAUGUAUGUCUGGCAUGCAGAAUGUUGAAAGCAAGUUAAGAAUUUUACUUUAUACAUGUAUAAGCAGUCGUGCGUAUAUCAUGCAUGGUACUUUUACAUCUUU